rnacentral:lncRNA from 10 species
UUUUCAGUUCUCACAAAUCCAGGCACAGAUAAUUCCUUCACAAGGACAGAAACAUCAUUCCUCAUCUUUCCCCUAGUAUGAGGAAAGGAAUUAUGGUAUGCCAUUAAAUUGAGAAGAAAUAGAGUCUCAAAACUGAAGCCAUGCCAAAUGCUAUGGAGAAGCCACAGAGACUGGGGACAGAAUGGAAUUAUAAGACUUCUCUGCAAGGAAGUGAUUAGCAAUUAGGAAGUCGCAAAUGACCUUCCGAAGAUCAACGUGAGCAGUGGAUGUGUCAUAAAGUAACUGCAAUGGAGUGAAUAAAAUGAAAGAGAAUGAGAAUAUUUGCUCAUUAUUUACAAAGUUUAGAGUUUCACCAGCUUCAUGAAGCUGACCAGUACCAAGGAACUUGUGAGCUCAGUGAGGAGGAAGAACUUGUCUUUAUUUACCACAUUAAGAAAUCCUGCAUCUUAGCAGAGCUUAAUGGUGCAUACCUGUAGUCCCAGCUACUUGAGAGGCUGAGGAAGGAGGACCGCUUGAGCCCAUGAAUUCAAGGCUGCAGUGAGCUGUGAUUGCACCACUGCAUUCCAGCCUGGGGAACAGAACAAG